UACGUAGGGGGCAAGCGUUGUCCGGAUUUAUUGGGCGUAAAGCGCACGUAGGCGGAUUGUUAAGUCAGGGGUGAAAUCCUGGAGCUCAACUCCAGAACUGCCUUUGAUACUGGCGAUCUUGAGUCCGGGAGAGGUGAGUGGAACUGCGAGUGUAGAGGUGAAAUUCGUAGAUAUUCGCAAGAACACCAGUGGCGAAGGCGGCUCACUGGCCCGGUACUGACGCUGAGGUGCGAAAGCGUGGGGAGCAAACAGG
rnacentral:rRNA from 1 species